GGGGAAAGAUUUUGAAUAAAAUGGGAGGCAGGCUUGCCUGAAGCACUUCCCAGCUUGACAUUUCCAUUUGGCGUAGUAAUUUUGGGGCCCCAAGAUUUAUU